rnacentral:rRNA from 1 species
CCUACGGGUGGCAGCAGUGGGGAAUAUUGGACAAUGGGCGAAAGCCUGAUCCAGCCAUGCCGCGUGUGUGAAGAAGGCCUUCGGGUUGUAAAGCACUUUCAGUGGGGAAGAAAGCCUUGGGGCUAAUACCCUCGAGGAAGGACAUCACCCACAGAAGAAGCACCGGCUAACUCCGUGCCAGCAGCCGCGGUAAUACGGAGGGUGCGAGCGUUAAUCGGAAUUACUGGGCGUAAAGCGCGCGUAGGCGGUCUGAUAAGCCGGUUGUGAAAGCCCCGGGCUCAACCUGGGAACGGCAUCCGGAACUGUCAGGCUAGAGUGCAGGAGAGGAAGGUAGAAUUCCCGGUGUAGCGGUGAAAUGCGUAGAGAUCGGGAGGAAUACCAGUGGCGAAGGCGGCCUUCUGGACCGACACUGACGCUGAGGUGCGAAAGCGUGGGUAGCAAACAGGAUUAGAUACCCUAGUAGUC